AURAAUAUAUCAUAAUUACCAA
rnacentral:tRNA from 1 species